UUUCCAUUCUCCUAAUCUAUAUCUCACAGCAGGAAAUAAGUAAGUACACUGGUGAUUUUUACCUACUAAAAAGGUAGCUAAAAGCUACUACACAGGGUAAUAAAAAAUAUUUCUGAGAAGCAUUAAAAUUUAAUCAGAUAUAAGGAAAUUAGGUUAUAUUAGCAUGGGGUAUUCAAAGAUUAUAAAUUGACUUGGCCUGAGACCUAAACAACACAUCGUGUUCCAGUGUCCCUUCUAGCACGUCAACCACACUGAAGACCUUAAAACAAGAUCCAAAGCUCAGCCCAACCAGGCUAAGAAAAGUCAUGAGUUUUUCAUGGGGAAAAAUAAAAUUAGAGAAAUGAAAAGGAAGGAAAUAAGAAAGGUAUCUCUGUUUGCCUCCUAGAUACAAGGAAUUUCAAGUUCAUAUUGAGAUAUUUUUAAUGUAUUAUUAACUAUUGCUGUUUACAGUUGGCAAAGCAGAGUUCCUUUUGUGGAGGACUGACAAAGUAUGGUGCUGAGCCACAAAGGUGAUGAGUGGGCCCUAACUAGCUCUGAUUAAAUGAAACCCACAUUUUCCUUCCCAGCUUUUGCAUUGGAUUAUCCUGAAAAGAGCAAAUGGAAGAGGAAUAAAGUACAAAAUACCAGGACAAACAGAACAGAUAAAGAUGCAGCUGAAAUAAAUCAAUGCCCACAGGUGCAAGAUCUAAAGGAUUCAGGACCAGAAUGAGAAGACGAGAGCAUCAUCUUGAAGAAAAUGCACUUGUGCUAAGGGUAUGUGGGGAUCUGUUUUGGCUGAGGAAUAAAUGCUGAUUAUUUAUUGGUU